GUGCUCGCUUCGGCAGCACAUAUACUAAAAUUGGAACGAUACAGAGAAGAUUGUAACACAAACUUCCAAGGGGCUGUAAAAAAAGACCGCAGCAUGACAAGGAACAAACAACUAAUCUCAAAAAUAUACAAGCAACUU
rnacentral:snRNA from 1 species